GCCGGAGUAGCUCAGUUGGUAGAGCACGUCAUUCGUAAUGAUGGGGUCGUAGGUUCGAUUCCUAUCUCCGGCACCA
rnacentral:tRNA from 41 species